rnacentral:rRNA from 1 species
GAUGAACGCUGGCGGCGUGCCUAAUACAUGCAAGUCGAGCGAACGGACGAGAAGCUUGCUUCUCUGAUGUUAGCGGCGGACGAGUGAGUAACACGUGGAUAACCUACCUAUAAGACUGGGAUAACUUCGGGAAACCGUAGCUAAUACCGGAUAAUAUUUUGAACCGCAUGGUUCAAAAGUGAAAGACGGUCUUGCUGUCUCUUAUAGAUGGUUCCGCGCUGCAUUAGCUAGUUGGUAAGGUAACGGCUUACCAAGGCAACGAUGCAUAGCCGACCUGAGAGGGUGGUCGGCCACACUGGAACUGAAACACGGUCCAGACUCCUACGGGAGGCAGCAGUAGGGAAUCUUCCGCAAUGGGCGAAAGCAUGACGGAGCAACGCCGCGUGAGUGAUGAAGGUCUUCGGAUCGUAAAACUCUGUUAUUAGUGAAGAACAUAUGUGUAAGUAACUGUGCACAUCUUGACGGUACCUGGUCAGAAAGCCACGGCUAACUACGUG